UACGUAGGGUGCAAGCGUUAAUCGGAAUUACUGGGCGUAAAGCGUGCGCAGGCGGCUUUGCAAGACAGAUGUGAAAUCCCCGGGCUCAACCUGGGAACUGCAUUUGUGACUGCAUGGCUAGAGUACGGUAGAGGGGGAUGGAAUUCCGCGUGUAGCAGUGAAAUGCGUAGAUAUGCGGAGGAACACCGAUGGCGAAGGCAGCCCCCUGGGUCAACACUGACGCUCAUGCACGAAAGCGUGGGGAGCAAACAGG
rnacentral:rRNA from 1 species